UGGGGAAUUGUUCGCAAUGGGCGCAAGCCUGACGACGCAACGCCGCGUGGAGGAUGAAGGUCUUCGGAUCGUAAACUCCUGUUGCCCGGGACGAAUAGCUUCGACCUAACACGUCGGAGUAUGACGGUACCGGGUGAGGAAGCCCCGGCUAACUCUGUGCCAGCAGCCGCGGUAAUACGUAGGGACCAAGCGUUGUUCGGAUUUACUGGGCGUAAAGGGCGCGUAGGCGGUGUGUCAAGUCAGUUGUGAAAUCUCCGAGCUUAACUCGGAACGGUCAACUGAUACUGUCACACUAGAGUACAGAAGGGGCAAUCGGAAUUCUUGGUGUAGCGGUGAAAUGCGUAGAUAUCAAGAGGAACACCUGAGGCGAAGGCGGGUUGCUGGGCUGAUACUGACGCUGAGGCGCGAAAGCUAGGGUAGCAAACGGGAUUAGAUACCCACGUAGUCCCUGAGCGGGCUGGCAAGGCGCAU
rnacentral:rRNA from 1 species